rnacentral:rRNA from 1 species
GUUAAGUCAGAUGUGAAAGCCCGGGGCUUAACCUCGGAAUUGCAUUUGAAACUGGCAGGCUAGAGUCUUGUAGAGGGGGGUAGGAAUUUCAGGUUGGUUAAGCGGUGAAAUGCGUAGAGAUCUGAAGGAAUACCAGUGGCGAAGGCGGCCCCCUGGACAAAGACUGACGCUCAGAUGCGAAAGCGUGGGGAGCAAACAGGAUUAGAUACCCUGGUAG